rnacentral:rRNA from 1 species
UACGUAGGGUGCGAGCGUUAAUCGGAAUUACUGGGCGUAAAGCGUGCGCAGGCGGCGCGUUAAGACAGGUGUAGCAAGCCCGAGCUUAACUGGAUUGCGCUUGUGACUGGCGUGCUGGAGUGUGGCAGAGGGAGGUGGAAUUCCACGUGUAGCAGUGAAAUGCGUAGAGAUGUGGAAGAACACCGAUGGCGAAGGCAGCCUCCUGGGCCAGCACUGACGCUCAUGCACGAAAGCGUGGGGAGCAACAGG